rnacentral:rRNA from 1 species
AUACGUAGGUGGCGAGCGUUGUCCGGAAUUACUGGGUGUAAAGGGCGUGUAGGCGGGGAUGCAAGUCAGAUGUGAAAUACUAAGGCUUAACCUUGGGGCUGCAUCUGAAACUGUGUUUCUUGAGUGUCGGAGAGGAAAGCGGAAUUCCCAGUGUAGCGGUGAAAUGCGUAGAGAUUGGGAGGAACACCAGUGGCGAAGGCGGCUUUCUGGACGACAACUGACGCUGAGGCGCGAAAGCGUGGGGAGCAAACAGGAUUAGAUACCCUGGUAGUCCACGCCGUAAACGAUGGAUACUAGGUGUAGGAGGUAUCGACCCCUUCUGUGCCGGAGUUAACACAAUAAGUAUUCCGCCUGGGGAGUACGGUCGCAAGAUUAAA